ACGAAGGGUGCUAGCGUUGUUCGGAAUUAUUGGGCGUAAAGAGUAUGUAGGCGGUUUGGUAAGUCAGCUGUGAAAGCCCCGAGCUCAACUCGGGAAUUGCAGCCGAAACUACUUUGCUUGAAUUUGGUGGGGGAUAGUGGAAUUCUUAGUGUAGGGGUGAAAUCCGUAGAUAUUAAGAGGAACACCGGCGGCGAAAGCGACUAUCUACACCAACAUUGACGCUGAGAUACGAAAGCGUGGGGAGCAAACAGG
rnacentral:rRNA from 1 species